CGGUAAUACGAAGGGUGCAAGCGUUAAUCGGAAUUACUGGGCGUAAAGCGCGCGUAGGUGGUUUGUUAAGUUGGAUGUGAAAGCCCCCGGGCUCAACCUGGGAACUGCAUCCAAAACUGGCAAGCUAGAGUAUGGCAGAGGGUGGUGGAAUU
rnacentral:rRNA from 1 species